AAACUGCGAUAAUUAAUGUGAAUUGCAGAAUUCUGUGAAUCAUCAAGACCUUGAACGCAAACUGCGCCUACGGGUCCACCUGUAGGCACGCUUGUUUGAGUGUCGAUUCAUUCACUAUCCCUUUAUUAUUCCUAUUUUUUUUUUAAGUGGGUAAUAAUAAAGGGGAAUUGGAGGUGUGGUUUUUCCUCUUUUUUUUUUAAAAAAAAGAGGGGGGGACCACUCCUUUUAAGUUCAUCUUCGGACUUUGCUUUUCAAAAAAACGAAUCAGUUUCAGCAAAGAGGUCCAGCCAGUAGGUACCAAUACGUUGGUUUAUCGAAAACUCACAUCUCUCUUGUCUAAAUUUGACAUUCGUUUUUGAAGCAAUAUAAAUCAAGUUCGAAUAAAAGGAAAGAAUCAAAACAACCGAUCAUUUCUCAACAAUUCGACCUCAAAUCAAGUGGGAUUACCCGCUGAAGUUAAGC
rnacentral:misc_RNA from 1 species